GGGGGUGUAGCUCAGCGGGAGAGCACCUGCCUUGCACGCAGGGGGCCAGGGGUUCGAUUCCCCUCACCUCCACCA
rnacentral:tRNA from 1 species